AUUAAGCAUAUCAAUAAGCGGAGGAAAAAGAAACCAACAGGGAUUGCCCCCAGUAACGGCGAGUGAAGCGGCAAUAGCUCAAAUUUGAAAUCUGGCUCUUUCAGGGUCCGAGUUGUAAUUUGCAGAGGGCGCUUUGGCGUCGGCAGCGGUCUAAGUUCCUUGGAACAGGUCAUCAUAGAGGGUGAGAAUCCCGUAUGUGGCCGACUGUCUUCGCCGUGUAAAGCCCCUUCGACGAGUCGAGUUGUUUGGGAAUGCAGCUCUAAAUGGGAGGUAAAUUUCUUCUAAAGCUAAAUAUUGGCCAGAGACCGAUAGCGCACAAGUAGAGUGAUCGAAAGAUGAAAAGCACUUUGGAAAGAGAGUCAAAAAGCACGUGAAAUUGUUGAAAGGGAAGCGCUUGCAGCCAGACGUGCCUGUAGUUGCUCAUCUGGGGUUCUCCCCAGUGCACUCUUCUAUGGGCAGGCCAGCAUCAGUCCGGGCGGUUGGAGAAAGACCUGUGUCAUGUAGCUGUCUUCGGGCAGUGUUAUAGGGCAGGUGGAAUGCAACCAGCCUGGACUGAGGUCCGCGCAUCUGCUAGGAUGCUGGCGUAAUGGCUGUAAGCGGCCCGUCUUGAAACACGGACCAAGGAGUCUAACAUCUAUGCGAGUGUUUGGGUGUCAAGCCCGAGCGCGUAAUGAAAGUGAACGGAGGUGGGAACCUUAGGGUGCACCAUCGACCGAUCCUGAUGUCUUCGGAUGGAUUUGAGUAAGAGCAUAGCUGUUGGGACCCGAAAGAUGGUGAACUAUGCCUGAAUAGGGUGAAGCCAGAGGAAACUCUGGUGGAGGCUCGCAGCGGUUCUGACGUGCAAAUCGAUCGUCAAAUUUGGGGCAUAGGGGCGAAAGACUAAUCGAACUAUCUAGUAGCUGGUUCCUGCCGAAG
rnacentral:rRNA from 1 species